rnacentral:siRNA from 1 species
GGCGGAGCCAGAACAAUGACUCA